GACGAACGCUGGCGGCGUGCUUAACACAUGCAAGUCGAGCGGUAAGGCCCUUUCGGGGGUUACGACGAGCGGCGAACGGGUGAGUAACACGUGGGUGACCUGCUCUCAGCUCUGGGAUAAGCCUGGGAAACCGGGUCUAAUACUGGAUAUGACUCCAUGACGCAUGUUGUGGGGUGGAAAGCCUUGUGCGGCUGAGGAUGGGCCCGCGGCCUAUCAGCUUGUUGGUGGGGUGAUGGCCUACCAAGGCGA
rnacentral:rRNA from 1 species